rnacentral:rRNA from 1 species
ACGGGAGGCAGCAGUGGGGAAUAUUGGGCAAUGGGGGAAACCCUGACCCAGCAACGCCGCGUGAAGGAAGAAGGCUUUCGGGUUGUAAACUUCUUUUAACAGGGAAGAUAAUGACGGUACCUGUUGAAUAAGCCACGGCUAACUACGUGCCAGCAGCCGCGGUAAUACGUAGGUGGCAAGCGUUAUCCGGAUUUACUGGGUGUAAAGGGCGCGUAGGCGGGAGUGCAAGUCAGAUGUGAAAUCCAUGGGCUUAACCCAUGAACUGCAUUUGAAACUGUGCUUCUUGAGUGUCGGAGAGGUAGAUGGAAUUCCUAGUGUAGCGGUGAAAUGCGUAGAUAUUAGGAAGAACACCAGUGGCGAAGGCGAUCUACUGGACGAUAACUGACGCUGAGGCGCGAAAGCGUGGGGAGCAAACAGGAUUAGAUACCCUGGUA